AUUGAACGCUGGCGGCAGGCCUAACACAUGCAAGUCGAGCUAGCGGCGGACGGGUGAGUAAUGUCUGGGAAACUGCUGGAUGGAGGGGGAGAACUACUGGAACCGGUAGCUAAUAACGCAGACCAUCGGAUGUGCCCAGAUGGGUGUAGCUGGUAGGUGGGGUAACGUCUCACCUAGGCGACGAUCCCUAGCUGGUCUGAGCGGAUGACCAGCCAGUCUGGAACGGAGACACGGUCCAGACCCCUACGGGAGGCAGUAGUGGGGAAUAUUGCACAAUGGGCGCAAGCCUGAGGCAGCAAUGCCGCGUGUAUGAAGAAGGCCUUCGGGUUGUAAAGUACUUUCAGCGGGGAGGCGUUACCCGCAGAAGAAGCACCGGCUAACUCCGUGCCAGCAGCCGCGGUAAUUC
rnacentral:rRNA from 1 species